rnacentral:rRNA from 1 species
GAUGAACGCUAGCGGCAGGCUUAAUACAUGCAAGUCGUGGGGCAGCAGCUUUAUAGCAAUAUAGAGGCUGGCGACCGGCAAACGGGUGCGGAACACGUACUGAACCUUCCUUUAAGUGGGGAAUAGCCCAGAGUAAUUUGGAUUAAUACCCCGUAACAUAUAGAAGUGGCAUCGCUUUUAUAUUAAAGCUCCGGCGCUUAAAGAUGGCAGUGCGGCUGAUUAGGUAGUUGGCGGGGUAACGGCCCACCAAGCCUACGAUCAGUAACUGGUGUGAGAGCACGACCAGUCACACGGGCACUGAGACACGGGCCCGACUCCUACGGGAGGCAGCAGUAAGGAAUAUUGGUCAAUGGACGGAAGUCUGAACCAGCCAUGCCGCGUGGAGGAUGAAGGUCCUCUGGAUUGUAAACUUCUUUUAUCUGGGACGAAAAAGGGCUUUCUAGAUCGUCUGACGGUACCUUACGAAUAAGCACCGGCUAACUCCGUGCCAGCCGCCGCCGUAACAC